rnacentral:rRNA from 1 species
GACAGAGGAUGCAAGCGUUAUCCGGAUUCAUUGGGUUUAAAGGGAGCGUAGGUGCCUUAUAAGUCAGUGGUGAAAUCUUCGAGCUUAACUCGGAAAUUGCCAUUGAUACUGUAGGGCUUGAGUACAGUUGCUGUGGGCGGAAUAUGACAUGUAGUGGUGAAAUGCUUAGAGAUGACAUAGAACACCUAUUGCGAAGGCAGCAGGCUAAACGAACAUUUGACGUGAGGCACGAAAGCGUGGGGAGCAAACAGG